rnacentral:misc_RNA from 1 species
AAAGUCGUAACAAGGUUUCCGUAGGUGAACCUGCGGAAGGAUCAUUAACAAAAAUCCAUUCUCAAACCAAACCGUGCUCUCAUAGUACAAAAACCACCUUUUUCUUCUGUUGUUGGGUGUGCGCAAGUGCAUUCAGCAGCGUUAGAAAAACUAUUAUUUUAACCCCUAUCACAAACACCUUUGCAAAUUGCUUACUGACGUAUGUCUGCUCACUUCGGUGAAAAGAUAAAAUACGAAACGCUUGUACAAUUCUUAGCAAUGGAUGUCUCGGCUCUC